GGGGAUGUAGCUCAGUGGUAGAGCGCCUUCUUUGCAUGUAUGAGGUCCUGGGUUCGGUCCCCAGCGUCUCCA